rnacentral:rRNA from 1 species
UACGUAGGCAGCGAGCGUUGUUCGGAGUUACUGGGCGUAAAGGGUGUGUAGGCGGUUGUUUAAGUUUGGUGUGAAAUCUCCCGGCUCAACUGGGAGGGUGCGCCGAAUACUGAAUGACUAGAGUGUGGGAGAGGUGAGUGGAAUUCCUGGUGUAGCGGUGAAAUGCGUAGAUAUCAGGAGGAACACCGGUGGUGUAGACGGCUCACUGGAUCAUAACUGACGCUGAGACACGAAAGCGUGGGUAGCAAACAGG